CCUACAGGAGGCAGCAGUGGGGAAUAUUGGACAAUGGGGGGAACCCUGAUCCAGCCAUGCCGCGUGUGUGAAGAAGGCCCUCGGGUUGGAAAGCACUUUCAAUGAGGAAGAACGCCUGGUGGUUAAUACCCAUCAGGAAAGACAUCACUCACAGAAGAAGCACCGGCUAACUCCGUGCCAGCAGCCGCGGUAAUACGGAGGGUGCGAGCGUUAAUCGGAAUUACUGGGCGUAAAGCGCGCGUAGGUGGCUUGAUAAGCCGGUUGUGAAAGCCCCGGGCUCAACCUGGGAACGGCAUCCGGAACUGUCAAGCUAGAGUGCAGGAGAGGAAGGUAGAAUUCCCGGUGUAGCGGUGAAAUGCGUAGAGAUCGGGAGGAAUACCAGUGGCGAAGGCGGCCUUCUGGACUGACACUGACACUGAGGUGCGAAAGCGUGGGUAGCAAACAGGAUUAGAUACCCUUGUAGUC
rnacentral:rRNA from 1 species